rnacentral:misc_RNA from 1 species
GGCAGGAUCAUUAAAAUGAAAAUGUAGAGGGAUCUUCACGGAUCUCUCCUACGUGCGCGAGGGUCGGCUCGGUGGAAUAACCCGAGCUACUUUGCGUCGUAGAAACACACAAAUUUCAACGUUUUAAAACGCGUUGGUCGGUGGAUCACUUGGCUGGUGGUUCGAUGAAGAACGCAGCAAAAUGCGUCAAGUGUUGUGAAUUGCAGGUUUCAGAACAAAAAGUUUUCGAACGCAAUUGGCGGCCGCGGAUCAGUCCGUGGCUGCGUCCGUCGGACACGGUUGAAUUUAACUCGAAGCGAAGCGAGGGCUCUGACGUCUUUGUACGUUUAUCCCCUCUGUUUUAAGCUUUGUACGUAAGCCAGGAUGGUUUCGCAAACCGACGAAACGUACCGGCUGAAAUUCAUCCACUCCGUGUCCGAUCGGGCGUGAACACCCGCUGAACUUAAGCAUAUCAGUAAGCGGAGGAAAAGAAGCUAACGAGGAUUCCCCUAGUAACUGCGAGUGAACAGGGACCCGAAAGCCCGACGCUCGAGCUCUCUCGGCCCGGCCGAGGCGAGCGAUUUAGCGUCUUGAGCACCGUAGUUCUAAAUGGUGCGUCUGGUCUCCGGCUUGCACAAGUCCGCGUGACCGUGGCUUUUCCUUGUCGUUAAACCCGACGAGGGUGAAAGGCCCGCCGUGGAACCUAAGGUUGCCGAGUCGUGUGAUUAGCGCAUUCGGGCUACAUCAAGUGCUCGUAAAGAGUCGGAUUGCUUGAGAGUGUAAUCCAAAGACGACGAAAGCCGUGGGUGGUAAACUCCAUCCAAGGCUAAAUAUUCGACCACCAGACCGAUAGCAAACAAGUACCGUGAGGGAAAGUUGCAAAGAACUCUGAAGAGAGGGUUCAAGAGAACGUGAAACCGAUCGAUGAUAACCGGGUGGCUCGCUCCGGUACCCUAGCUCGAGAUUCAACGCUGAUGGUCGACAUGGUGUGGACGUGUACGAGUUUUCGUCGUGCGGUGAUCCCUCCUCUCGGGGAGUAAGGUUAUCGUACCCGGAGACCGUCGCGUUUCGCCGAUAUGACUGGGCGUGCACUUCUCCGAGCUGCGAGAGACCGUCCGCCGGUCUAGCUAUUUGUCGGGAGAUAGGGGUCGCACCGUCGGUCUCGGAGAGGAAUUUAUUCUUCUUUCAUUUGACUUGACCAGCUGCUGAUCCGCUUAAUCCUCCCGGUUUGACGGCUGACCGGUUGCACAGGCGUUGUCGCGGUCCUAUGUGCUCUUAAAUUCCGCGUGCCGAGUUCUCGUCCCGACUAGUGGGAGGUGAGCGGUUCCUUGGAAAAUUCAAGAUCCGUUUGCCUUUUCUGCGACAUCGGUGGCUUGGACGAUAUCGGUGCGCGGCGGGCCGAACCGUUAGACUUUAGCGCCGACGAAGCGACGGUAAACGAGAGUUUGCCACCCGACCCGUCUUGAAACACGGACCAAGGAGUCUAACCUGUAUGCGAGUCGUACGGAUAACCCUAUGGUUAUUAAACCGAACGGCGCAAUGAAAGUGAAAGAGCUCGAACUUCCUCCCUCGUGGGGUCGUUCAAAGCUGGCCCGUAUCGUAAAGCGCUCUCCUCGGAGGGUCGCAGGUACGGAGUCUGAGCAUAUACGUUGGGACCCGAAAGAUGGUGAUCUAUGCAAGGGCAGGGUGAAGCCAGAGGAAACUCUGGUGGAGGCCCGCCGCGUUUCUGACGUGCAAAUCGAUCGUCUGAUCUUUGCAUAGGGGCGAAAGACUAAUCGAACCAUCUAGUAGCUGGUUCCUUC